GAACGAUAGGAGGAGCACAUGUGCUACUUCGUGCAUUGACGAUACUCUUGUUGGAUCUUUCGCCUAGAAAUAGUCUUUCAUUUUUUUGAUAGUCUUAAAACGACAUUAUACGAAACCAUGCAAAUAAUGGCCGCAAACUUAAAUGAGAAGAUACUGUUGCUUUGAGUCGUAGAGGAAAAUAAUUUCCUCAGAGAAGAUGGCGGACGUCACGCCAAACCAAAUUUCAACUGAAGUUUCAUAACGACAUUCUAUAAAAGAAACUUGCAAAUAAUGGACGUGAAGAUGAGAAGAUACUGUUGCUGUGAGUGAGUUGUGGUUUCUCAAAAAGAUGGCGGACGUGUGCCACACCCAACCUAAGUUCAUUGCAGUCUCAUAACAACAUUGCCCAAAAACAUGCAAUUAAUGGACGUGAAGACAAGAAGAUGCUGUUGCUGUGAGUUGAAAAUCAUUUUCUCAAAGAAGAUGGCAGACCUAGUGCUCGCACCCAACCAAAGAUCAUCUGCAGGCGACAAAGCAAGUCAUAUUCUGAUGUUAGCAAGACAUAUACAUUCUCCUACCAGGCCAGUGUUAUGCCUCAAGAGGAAAGCAACAAUGAUUACAGCAGUUAUGCCUACUAUGGAUCUAUUUCACUAUCAAAGGACUCAGGUGUCAACAUUUUAGAAUUUUAUAAUUUACACCAUUUUAGUCUAAACCUACUAUUAUUGGUCAUUAACAAAUUCUGUAUUCUGAUUGGCUAAGCUACUAGUGGUCUUUAAGGUUACAUGGGACACAAUUAGGUCAUUUUCUGAAAGCGUARUAACUGAAAUUUUUAAGUUUAUCUCUGCAAUUUUUCGUUUAUUUCGUAGGUAUCUCAGAAAAUUGAGUUUCAAAGUGCAACUUAUUCUCCCACUGCUUUGCGUAAACGGAUUAAGGUGUUGAUCUAAAAAAGCUUGUCUCUAAUUUUCUUUUUGGCACUUUUGUUAUUUUGAAAAAUUAUUUUUACUUGGGUUCUCACGGAAAAGAAUGAUUUUGUUGUGAACAAAGACCUUA